UUCCUGUGAACUAGCGUUCUGGACUAAGCCAUGCGAGUGUAAGCUCAAGACCUGUACCAGGUCGAAGCCGCAGACGGCUCCGUACAAGAUAGUUAAUCCAAGGCUCGAUCCAAUUGCGGAUAUCUCUGGGAAACUAGAGCCAUUACGUGCAAACUAAUGCCAGGUUCUCCUGGUGCAGUUAUCGGUCUGGAACGUGCCGGCUUGCCGGUGUUCAGGUGACUCUGGAUAACCUCGCUUACCGCGAGUCCAACUCGACGGUGUGAGCCACGAAGCUAUCACCCAUCAAUUAGGCGGUACGGUAGUGGCGUACCGCGAUCGUCACGGGUACGGGGAAUCAGGGUUCGAUUCCGGAGAGCAUGCCUGAGAGAAGGCAGACGUUGCUACGGCAUACAGCAGGCGCGCAAAUUUGUCAAUGUUCGGAUGAAUGAACGAGCAAGAACGUAUGGAAGGACGAGACAGUACUGUCUUCGUCACAUCCAUGAGGGCAGCCCUCACAGCUGCCCGAUAACCACUGGAGGGCAAGUCUGGUGCCAGCAGCCGCGGUAAUUCCAGCUCCGGGAGUUCACGGGAUUAUUGCUGAGACUAAAACGUCUGUAGUCGGAACCAACGGCAGCGCGUGCGAUCGGACCCACCGGGCGAGGUCGCCGCAGUGCCACGACCGUCCGUUCGCCUCGGCGUGCGUCGGUCCACGUCCGUGACCCAAACCAAGUGAUCAAGGCGAGCUCGUGCUCGAUGGUUUUGCAUGGAAUCGUAGAACGAAACCUGCGCUCGGCGUUCCAAGAGCGCAGGUGAUGAUCAACGGGAGCGGUCGGAGACGAGUGAACUGCAGGGCGAGGGGUAAAAUCUGAUGAUCCUUGCAAGACAGCCGAAAGCGAAGGCACUCGUCUAGAGCGUUUCCGUCGAUAAAGGACGGAAGCCACCGUAGUCAACAGGAUUAGAUACCCCGGUAGCGGUGUGCCCCAAACUAUGCCGACCGGCCCGACGCCGCGUUUACGCAUGUGACCGGUGUUGGGUCCGAGGAAGCUGGAGUGAUUUGGCUUCUGGGAGAUUACGGCUGCAAAGCUGAAACUUAAAGGAAUUGACGGAAGGGCACCAUCAGGUCUGGAUUAUGCGGCUCAAUUGGAUUCAACGCCCGACACCCCACCAGGACAGGAGCGCCCGAUGAAGCACCGGCCGAAUACCUCUGCCGAUGGGCGUGCGGGUGGUGCAUGGCCGCCGUAGUUCGUGAGGCGACUUGUCUGGUUAAUUCCGACAACGAACGUAACCGCACUGCCCGAACUAUGGUGCGCGCCCGCGGGUGCGUCGCCAAACUCGGGCAGACAAAUCCGCAACGAGUCUCGUCUCGGAGCAGAAGGAAGCUACGGCGAUGGCAGGUCUGUGAUGCCCCUAGACGCCCUGGAUCGCACGCGUAAUACAAUGCCGGCCCAAGCGCGCAAGUUCGCCCGAGAGGGUCUACAAAUCGCACGAAAAGCCGGCCCAGUCGGGAUCGAGGAUUGCAACUUUCCUCGUGAACGCGGAACACCUCGUAGUGGCGCGUCAUUAACGCGCCACGAAUGAGUCCCUGUCCUUUGUACACACCGCCCGUCGCUACAGCCAAUUACGUGUCGUCGUCAAGAGGCCGGACGGUUCGCCUUCGGGUGGAUAAUCGGAAGGUCCCUGAACGUCGGUACGAGGAGGGUGUAAAAGUCGUAACAAGGUAUUU
rnacentral:rRNA from 1 species